rnacentral:rRNA from 1 species
UCGGCAUACUGCUCAGUAACACGUGGAUAACCUGCCCUAUCGUCUGGAAUAACCUCGGGAAACUGAGAAUAAGGCCGGAUAGUUCACAAUGCCUGGAACGGUUUGUGAAUCAAGGUAGGAUGGGUCUGCGGCGUAUCAGGUUGUAGGGGGUGUAAAGGACCCCCUAGCCUUCGACGCGUACGGGUGUUGGGAGACAUAGCCCGGAGAUGGAUUCUGAGACACGAAUCCAGACCCUACGGGGUGCAGCAGGCGCGAAAACUUCACACUGCAGGAAACUGUGAUGAGGGAACUCCUAGUGCAUGCACUAUGUGUAUGUAGAUCCUACUCUUAACAAGUAGAGGGAAAGGGCUGGGAAAGACCGGUGCCAGCCGCCGCGGUAAUACCGGCAGCUCAAGUGGUCGUCGCUUUUAUUGGGCCUAAAACGUCCGUAGCCUGUUUGGUAAAUCUGUGGGUAAAUCAAUCCGCUCAACGGGUUGAAUUCUGCAGAGACUGCCAGACUAGGGACCGGGAGAGGUGUGGGGUACUCGAGGGGUAGGGGUAAAAUCCUGUCAUCCUUCGAGGACCACCAGUUGCGAAGGCGCCACACUGGAACGGAUCCGACGGUCAGGGACGAAGCCUAGGGGCACGAACCGGAUUAGAUACCCGGGUAGUCCUAGGUGUAAACGCUGUGAACCUGGUGUCGGGGGUCCGCAAGGGGUCCCCGGUGCCGGAGUGAAGAUGUUAAGUUCACUGCCUGGGGAGUACGGUCGCAAGGCUGAAACUUAAAGGAAUUGGCGGGGGAGCACUGCAACGAGAGGAGCGUGCGGUUUAAUU